rnacentral:rRNA from 1 species
AAUGAACGUUGGCGGCGUGGAUUAGGCAUGCAAGUCGAGCGAGAAUUUGCGAUUGGAAGCUUCGGCCGAAGAAAGUGAAGGAAAGCGGCAAACGGCGUAGUAAGGCGUAGGUACGUACCCUCGGGUCGGGAAUAGCCAUGGGAAACUGUGGGUAAUGCCCGAUAAUCUCUGCGGAGCAAAGGUGUGAUUCCGCCGGAGGAGCGGCUUACGUGAUAUUAGCUAGUUGGUGGGGUAAUGGCCUACCAAGGCAACGAUGUCUAGGGGGUGUGAGAGCAUGGCCCCCCACGACCGGAACUGAGACACUGUCCGGACACCUACGGGUGGCUGCAGUCGAGAAUCUUCCGCAAUGGGCGAAAGCCUGACGGAGCGACGCCGCGUGGUGGAUGAAGGCCCUUGGGUUGUAAACACCUGUCAGAGGGGAUGAAAUCAUGGUUGGCAAUCCUUCCAUGUUGACAGAGCCUCAGAGGAAGCACGGGCUAAGUACGUGCCAGCAGCCGA